AACACAAUAAGCACUCCGCCUGGGGAGUACGGUCGCAAGACUGAAACUCAAAGGAAUUGACGGGGACCCGCACAAGCAGCGGAGCAUGUGGUUUAAUUCGAAGCAACGCGAAGAACCUUACCAAGGUUUGACAUCCCCUUGACAGAUGCAGAGAUGUGUCCUCCCCUUCGGGGGCAAGGGAGACAGGUGGUGCAUGGUUGUCGUCAGCUCGUGUCGUGAGAUGUUGGGUUAAGUCCCGCAACGAGCGCAACCCUUAUCCUUAGUUGCCAGCAGGUUAAGCUGGGCACUCUAAGGAGACUGCCGAUGAUAAAUCGGAGGAAGGUGGGGAUGACGUCAAAUCAUCAUGCCCCUUAUAUCUUGGGCUACACACGUGCUACAAUGGUCGGUACAAAGGGUAGCGAAGGAGUGAUCUGGAGCAAAUCCCAAUAAACCGAUCCCA
rnacentral:rRNA from 1 species